CUUAUAGUAGGUAAAUACGAAAAAUAGAUUCUACAUAGCUGCAUCGGAAGUUACUUAUGACUCGACCUAAUAUAUGUAUUCUCACACAUAAGUUAACAAUUUCAGAUAUUACUUUGAGAUUAUGUAACUUCGAUCAAGGAUAACGAGGUAAGUUUAUUGAUCUUCGACGAACAAAAUCAUUUCAUAUGUCUCUAUUAUUCUUUUAGGAAAACACUUCAUCCAGGUGGCAUGUUUUUUUAUCGAAUGAAGAUCGAGACAACGUUCCGUAUUAAAGGUAAAUAUGUAUAUGUGUAUAUAUAUAUGUCUGUGUUAUGUGACUUUCUUAAAUCUAUUAUAUCUAAAAUAUCUAAAAAAAAAAUAUAUAUAUAUAUAUAUAUCAAACGC